rnacentral:rRNA from 1 species
GAUGAACGCUGGCGGCGUGCCUAAUACAUGCAAGUCGAGCGAACGGACGAGAAGCUUGCUUCUCUGAUGUUAGCGGCGGACGGGUGAGUAACACGUGGAUAACCUACCUAUCAGACUGGGAUAACUUCGGGAAACCGUCGCUAAUACCGGAUAAUAUUUUGAACCGCAUGGUUCAAAAGUGAAAGACGGUCUUGCUGUCACUUAUAGAUGCAUCCGCGCUGCAUUAGCUAGUUGGUAAGGUAACGGCUUACCAAGGCAACGAUGCAUAGCCGACCUGAGAGGGUGAUCGGCCACACUGGAACGUAGACACGGUCAAGACUCCUACGGGAGGCAGCAGUAGGGAAUCUUCCGCAAUGGGCGAAAGCCUGACGGAGCAGCGCCGCGUGAGUGAUGAAGGUCUUCGGAGCGUAAAACUCUGUUAUUAGGGAAGAACAGAUGUGUAAGUAACUGUGCACAGCUUGACGGUACCGAAUCAGAAAGCCACGGCUAACUACGUG